UCCCGCGUGCGGCCCGUUGGAAACUCUCCUCGGCCCUUUUAACUUACGGUGAUGUAUCAGGGCUCCUCCUUUAUUUUCGUCGUUUGCUCGUUACGCCUGCGGACAUUCACAAAGAUCUAACCACACUCGUCCAAACGAGCAGUCGUCAA